CAAACACCCAACCAGGGAGCAAGGACAUCAGCUGAGGCAUCAGGGAUGUCUGAGCUACUUUUGGAGGCUCUGAUAAACAAGCAGGUCAUCUGUAACUAGUGUCCUUUUAAGAAGAGGACACUUGGACACAACAUGCACUGCACACACAGUAAAAGACCAAGCGAGGACACAGCAAGCAAGAAGGCAGCCAUCUGCAAGCCAAGGAGAUCGGCCUCCGGAGAAAACAACCCCACCAAUAUCUCGGUCUGGGACUUCUAGCCUCCAGAAUAGUGUGGGCAUGCAGGUUUUUGAGAAGAGGCAACACAGGUGAGAGAAGACCCAGAAGCAGAUGGUGGGGAUGUCCUUCCAGGAGUCAUCUUCAUUACCCUGGCAAUCUUUAAAGUAUUUAUCAAGUCA